AGUUGAUCCUGGCUAGGACGAACGCUGGCGGCGUGCCUAACACAUGCAAGUCGAACGGACGAGGGGAGCUUGCUCCCCAAGUUAGUGGCGGACGGGUGAGUAACACGUGAGCAACCUGCCCUUCGGAGGGGGACAACAGCUGGAAACGGCUGCUAAUACCGCAUGACACAGCGGGGAGGCAUCUCUCUGCUGUCAAAGAUUUAUCGCCGAAGGAUGGGCUCGCGUCUGAUUAGAUAGUUGGUGAGGUAACGGCCCACCAAGUCUACGAUCAGUAGCCGGACUGAGAGGUUGAACGGCCACAUUGGGACUGAGAUACGGCCCAGACUCCUACGGGAGGCAGCAGUGGGGAAUAUUGGGCAAUGGGGGGCAACCCUGACCCAGCAACGCCGCGUGAAGGAAGAAGGCUUUCGGGUUGUAAACUUCUUUGACGAGGGACGAUAGUGACGGUACCUCGAAAACAAGCCACGGCUAACUACGUGCCAGCAGCCGC
rnacentral:rRNA from 1 species